ACUCUAAGCGGUGGAUCACUCGGCUCAUGGUCGAUGAAGAACGCAGCAAACUGUGCGUCAUCGUGUGAACUGCAGGACACAUGAACAUCGACAUUUUGAACGCAUAUCGCAGUCCAUGCUGUUAUGUACUUUAAUUAAUUUUAUAGUGCUGCUUGGACUACAUAUGGUUGAGGGUUGUAAGACUAUGCUAAUUAAGUUGCUUAUAAAUUUUUAUAAGCAUAUGGUAUAUUAUUGGAUAAAUAUAAUAAUUUUUAUUCAUAAUAUUAAAAAAUAAAUGAAAAACAUUAUCUCACAUUUGAAUGUGAAAAACGAAGAGAAAUAUUUUCUUUUUCAAUCAAAUAAUACUGAGAAAUGUCUAGCAUAAAAAAUUGAAAUAUUUUUCAUCUAGAAUUGUCUCUUAUUAAUGAUUCGGAAAUAGAAAAAUCUUGGUUAUGUUAUUAUUCUUCGUUGGUUCGUUAAAAAUGGAUAAAUAAAAACUUUGCAUACAAGAAUUAAUAAAAUGUUAUAACGAAUUUAAUUAAAUGUUUUAUCAUUAUAUAUAAAGAAUUUAUGGCAAGAUAAAGUUAUAUACAACCUCAACUCAUAUGGGACUACCCCCUGAAUUUAAGCAUAUUAAUUAGGGGAGGAAAAGAAACUAACAAGGAUUUUCUUAGUAGCGGCGAGCGAAAAGAAAACAGUUCAGCACUAAGUCACUUUGUCUAUAUGGCAAAUGUGAGAUGCAGUGUAUGGAGCGUCAAUAUUCUAGUAUGAGAAAUUAACGAUUUAAGUCCUUCUUAAAUGAGGCCAUUUACCCAUAGAGGGUGCCAGGCCCUAUAACGUUAAUGAUUACUAGAUGAUGUUUCCAAAGAGUCGUGUUGCUUGAUAGUGCAGCACUAAGUGGGUGGUAAACUCCAUCUAAAACUAAAUAUAACCAUGAGACCGAUAGUAAACAAGUACCGUGAGGGAAAGUUGAAAAGAACUCUGAAUAGAGAGUUAAACAGUACGUGAACUGCUUAGAGGUUAAGCCCGAUGAACCUGAAUAUCCGUUAUGGAAAAUUCAUCAUUAAAAUUGUAAUAUUUAAAUAAUAUUAUGAGAAUAGUGUGCAUUUUUUCCAUAUAAGGACAUUGUAAUCUAUUAGCAUAUACCAAAUUUAUCAUAAAAUAUAACUUAUAGUUUAUUCCAAUUAAAUUGCUUGCAUUUUAACACAGAAUAAAUGUUAUUAAUUUGAUAAAGUGCUGAUAGAUUUAUAUGAUUACAGUGCGUUAAUUUUUCGGAAUUAUAUAAUGGCAUAAUUAUCAUUGAUUUUUGUGUUUAUUAUAUGCACUUGUAUGAUUAACAAUGCGAAAGAUUCAGGAUACCUUCGGGACCCGUCUUGAAACACGGACCAAGGAGUCUAACAUAUGUGCAAGUUAUUGGGAUAUAAACCUAAUAGCGUAAUUAACUUGACUAAUAAUGGGAUUAGUUUUUUAGCUAUUUAUAGCUAAUUAACACAAUCCGGGGCGUUCUAUAUAGUUAUGUAUAAUGUAUAUUUAUAUUAUUUAUGCCUCUAACUGGAACGUACCUUGAGCAUAUAUGCUGUGACCCGAAAGAUGGUGAACUAUACUUGAUCAGGUUGAAGUCAGGGGAAACCCUGAUGGAAGACCGAAACAGUUCUGACGUGCAAAUCGAUUGUCAGAAUUGAGUAUAGGGGCGAAAGACCAAUCGAACCAUCUAGUAGCUGGUUCCUUCCGAAGUUUCCCUCAGGAUAGCUGGUGCAUUUUAAUAUUAUAUAAAAUAAUCUUAUCUGGUAAAGCGAAUGAUUAGAGGCCUUAGGGUCGAAACGAUCUUAACCUAUUCUCAAACUUUAAAUGGGUAAGAACCUUAACUUUCUUGAUAUGAAGUUCAAGGUUAUGAUAUAAUGUGCCCAGUGGGCCACUUUUGGUAAGCAGAACUGGCGCUGUGGGAUGAACCAAACGUAAUGUUACGGUGCCCAAAUUAACAACUCAUGCAGAUACCAUGAAAGGCGUUGGUUGCUUAAAACAGCAGGACGGUGAUCAUGGAAGUCGAAAUCCGCUAAGGAGUGUGUAACAACUCACCUGCCGAAGCAACUAGCCUUAAAAUGGAUGGCGCUUAAGUUGUAUACCUAUACAUUACCGCUAAAGUAGAUGAUUUAUAUUACUUGUGAUAUAAAUUUUGAAACUUUAGUGAGUAGGAAGGUACAAUGGUAUGCGUAGAAGUGUUUGGCGUAAGCCUGCAUGGAGCUGCCAUUGGUACAGAUCUUGGUGGUAGUAGCAAAUAAUCGAAUGAGACCUUGGAGGACUGAAGUGGAGAAGGGUUUCGUGUGAACAGUGGUUGAUCACGAGUUAGUCGGUCCUAAGUUCAAGGCGAAAGCCGAAAAUUUUCAAGUAAAACAAAAAUGCCUAACUAUAUAAACAAAGCGAAUUAUAAUACACUUGAAUAAUUUUGAACGAAAGGGAAUACGGUUCCAAUUCCGUAACCUGUUGAGUAUCCGUUUGUUAUUAAAUAUGGGCCUCGUGCUCAUCCUGGCAACAGGAACGACCAUAAAGAAGCCGUCGAGAGAUAUCGGAAGAGUUUUCUUUUCUGUUUUAUAGCCGUACUACCAUGGAAGUCUUUCGCAGAGAGAUAUGGUAGAUGGGCUAGAAGAGCAUGACAUAUACUGUUGUGUCGAUAUUUUCUCCUCGGACCUUGAAAAUUUAUGGUGGGGACACGCAAACUUCUCAACAGGCCGUACCAAUAUCCGCAGCUGGUCUCCAAGGUGAAGAGUCUCUAGUCGAUAGAAUAAUGUAGGUAAGGGAAGUCGGCAAAUUAGAUCCGUAACUUCGGGAUAAGGAUUGGCUCUGAAGAUUGAGAUAGUCGGGCUUGAUUGGGAAACAAUAACAUGGUUUAUGUGCUCGUUCUGGGUAAAUAGAGUUUCUAGCAUUUAUGUUAGUUACUUGUUCCCCGGAUAGUUUAGUUACGUAGCCAAUUGUGGAACUUUCUUGCUAAAAUUUUUAAGAAUACUAUUUGGGUUAAACCAAUUAGUUCUUAUUAAUUAUAACGAUUAUCAAUUAACAAUCAAUUCAGAACUGGCACGGACUUGGGGAAUCCGACUGUCUAAUUAAAACAAAGCAUUGUGAUGGCCCUAGCGGGUGUUGACACAAUGUGAUUUCUGCCCAGUGCUCUGAAUGUCAAAGUGAAGAAAUUCAAGUAAGCGCGGUCAACGGCGGAGUAACUAUGACUCUCUUAAGGUAGCCAAAUGCCUCGUCAUCUAAUUAGUGACGCGCAUGAAUGGAUUAACGAGAUUCCUACUGUCCCUAUCUACUAUCUAGCGAAACCAAGCCAAGGGAACGGGCUUGGAAUAAUUAGCGGGGAAAGAAGACCCUUUUGAGCUUGACUCUAAUCUGGCAGUGUAAGGAGACAUAAGAGGUGUAGAAUAAGUGGGAGAUAUUAGACCUCGGUUUGGUAUCGUCAAUGAAAUACCACUACUCUUAUUGUUUCCUUACUUACUUGAUUAAAUGGAACGUGUAUCAUUUCCUAGCCAUUAUACGGAUAUAUUUAUUAUAUCUUAUGGUAUUGGGUUUUGAUGCAAGCUUCUUGAUCAAAGUAUCACGAGUUUGUUAUAUAAUCGCAAACAAAUUCUUUAAUAAAACGAUGCAUUUAUGUAUUUUUGAUUUGAAAAUUUGGUAUAACUCCAAUUACUCAGGUAUGAUCCAAUUCAAGGACAUUGCCAGGUAGGGAGUUUGACUGGGGCGGUACAUCUCUCAAAUAAUAACGGAGGUGUCCCAAGGCCAGCUCAGUGCGGACAGAAACCACACAUAGA
rnacentral:rRNA from 1 species